rnacentral:rRNA from 1 species
AACCAGACUCCUACGGGAGGCAGUAGUGAGGAAUAUUGGUCAAUGGGCUUACGCCUGAACCAGCCAAGUCGCGUGAGGGAAGACGGCCCUACGGGUUGUAAACCUCUUUUGUCGGGGAGCAAAGAGAGUCACGUGUGACUCAUUGAGAGUACCCGAAGAAAAAGCAUCGGCUAACUCCGUGCCAGCAGCCGCGGUAAUACGGAGGAUGCGAGCGUUAUCCGGAUUUAUUGGGUUUAAAGGGUGCGUAGGCGGAAGGUUAAGUCAGCGGUCAAAUGUCGGUGCUCAACACCGGCCUGCCGUUGAAACUGGUCUUCUUGAGUGAGCGAGAAGUAUGCGGAAUGCGUGGUGUAGCGGUGAAAUGCAUAGAUAUCACGCAGAACUCCGAUUGCGAAGGCAGCAUACCGGCGCUCAACUAACGCUCAUGCACGAAAGUGUGGGUAUCGAACAGGAUUAGAUACCCUGGUAAA